rnacentral:rRNA from 1 species
UACGUAGGGGGCAAGCGUUGUCCGGAUUUAUUGGGCGUAAAGAGCGUGUAGGCGGCCAGGUAGGUCUGCUGUGAAAACUCGAGGCUUAACCUCGAGCUGUCGGCGGAAACCAUCUGGCUAGAGUCCGGAAGAGGAGAAUGGAAUUCCCGGUGUAGCGGUGAAAUGCGCAGAUAUCGGGAAGAACACCGAUGGCGAAGGCAGGUCUCUGGGCCACUACUGACGCUGAGAAGCGAAAGCAUGGGGAGCGAACAGG